CCCUACACAAUUCAAACCCUACAUUAUUUACCCUCAAUUCUUUCUCUCUAUUCUCACCUCUCUGCCAGAACCCAAAAGUCUCUCUCUCGGAAUGCGAGGCGGUUCUAUUUGUUGGCAACGCCGCCACCACAAGAAAUAGCUUGUACCGCAACUCAAUCUAUCUAUCGACGGCAAUAGUGGUGGUGGCUACGGCGAUGGUGAUGGAGUGUUUUUGUUGGAUCUGGUGGUGACAGUGGUAGAGGAUGUUAGGGACAAAAUUGAACCGGGAAUGGAGAUGUAUGGUUGAUGUUUCAGGUUCCAAUGAGGCUGUCGUAGGCAGCAUCGUUGUCAGCGGCAAGUGUUUGUAAUGUUUUUUCUUUUUAAAUUGAAGAGAUUUGGCUUAGAGUUCCAUCUAGUGCUCAAAUUGGGUUUAUUGGAUACUUGAUGCAGAAAUGUCUUGGUUUGUGGCUGAGAGGAUGUAUGAUUUGUGGUGGAGAUAUGGGUUGUGGUGUAUGAUAAUGGUGGUGACUGUGUCACAAUGGUGGAUUUGGAGAUGCGGCUGUUGCUUAUGAGAGUUUCUGCGGUUGGUGGUGUUUUAUGGUGGUUUAAAGUGAUUUUGGGUGGGGGCGUCGCUGUUAGGUUGUAUUGGUGGUGGUGAUGGUGCAAGCGAUGGUGGUCGUGUUGGCAGUGGUAGCAAUCGUCGCGAUGGUUGUAAAGCAGUGGUGGUGGUUAUUUUGGCUGUGUUGUUACUGAGAAGUGUUGGUGGUGGUUCUAGCAGUUGUGGUGUUGGAGGCAGUGGUGUAAUAGAUUACGUGGUUGGUUGUGACCAAUAAAUUAG
rnacentral:lncRNA from 1 species